GCGAACGGGUGAGUAACACGUGGGUGACCUGCCCCCAACUCUGGGAUAAGCCCGGGAAACUGGGUCUAAUACCGGAUAUGACUACAUGUCGCAUGGUGUGUGGUGGAAAGUUUUUCGGUUGGGGAUGGGCCCGCGGCCUAUCAGCUUGUUGGUGGGGUGAUGGCCUACCAAGGCGACGACGGGUAGCCGGCCUGAGAGGGCGACCGGCCACACUGGGACUGAGACACGGCCCAGACUCCUACGGGAGGCAGCAGUGGGGAAUAUUGCGCAAUGGGCGGAAGCCUGACGCAGCGACGCCGCGUGGGGGAUGACGGCCUUCGGGUUGUAAACCUCUUUCGACCGGGACGAAGCGCAAGUGACGGUACCGGUAUAAGAAGCACCGGCCAACUACGUGCCAGCAGCCGCGGUAAUACGUAGGGUGCGAGCGUUGUCCGGAAUUAUUGGGCGUAAAGAGCUCGUAGGCGGUCUGUCGCGUCGGUCGUGAAAACUUGGGGCUUAACCCUGAGCUUGCGGUCGAUACGGGCAUGACUGGAGUUCGGCAGGGGAGACUGGAAUUCCUGGUGUAGCGGUGAAAUGCGCAGAUAUCAGGAGGAACACCGGUGGCGAAGGCGGGUCUCUGGGCCGAUACUGACGCUGAGGAG
rnacentral:rRNA from 1 species